CARCAGUCGCGGUAAUACGUANAARACCAGUGUUAUUCAUCUUUAAUAGGUUUAAAGGGUACUCAVACNGCAGGAGUGGCCUUCAGGACAAGCAUACAUAUGUAUGGUACACCACCAGAGGUGGUGUAUGACACCACUUUGCUAGAGUUAAAUAUAUAUUUACCUUAAUGGACGUACUAACGGUGUAGAGAUGAAAUUCUUUGAUACCAUCCUAGGACUGGUAAGGGCGAAGGCAGCGAAUUAUGUAAUAACUGACGUUAAAGGACGAAGGCCUCGACGCAGCAAAUGGGAUUAGAUACCCCAGUAGUACAGCGCAGAAAAUGAUGAGUGUCAUAUAAUAGAUUUUUCUGUUGUAUAAAUGAAAGUGUAAGCACUCCACCUCAAGAGUAAUUUGGCAACAUUGGAACUGAAAUCAUUAGACCGUUUCUGAAACCAGUAGUGAAGUAUGUUGUUUAAUUAGAUGUUCCGCAAAAAACCUUACCACAAUUUGAAUAUAGAAGUUAUAAUUUUUGUACAAGCGCUGCACGGCUGUCUUCAGUUGAUGUCGUGAGAUUUUGGUUAGUUCCAUUAAAUCAACGUAAACCCUUACUUUAUUUUUUUAUAAAGUAGUUCACCGCUAUAAAGGAAACGAUAAUAGGGACUAAGACAAGUCAUCAUGGCCUUAAUAUUGUGGGCUAUAGACGUGCCACAUA
rnacentral:rRNA from 1 species